CGCCUGUAGCAAUACAGGUGGCGCACGGCGCACGGGUGCGUAACACGUGGGUAAUCUGCCCCCUGAUGGGGAAUAACUCGCCGAAAGGCGAGCUAAUUCCGCAUAACAUUCCGAAGACCUUGGUUUUUGGAUUCAAAGGCGUAAGUCGUCGGAGGAGGAGCCCGCGCACGAUUAGCUAGUUGGUGAGGUAAUGGCUCACCAAGGCUAUGAUCGUUAGCUGGUCUGAGAGGAUGGCCAGCCACACUGGAACUGAGACACGGUCCAGACUCCUACGGGAGGCAGCAGUGGGGAAUCUUGCACAAUGGGCGAAAGCCUGAUGCAGCGACGCCGCGUGGGGGAUGAAGCUUCUCGGA
rnacentral:rRNA from 1 species